AAUCUUUUACUGGCAAGCAAAAGGUACUGAGCUGAAUCUCUCUACUCGUCUUUGUUCUUGAUACUGAGCCGAGUCUAUAUGUCUUGCAAACUUCAAUAUGCAAAGUUGUGCUUCUACUGGAAGUUCUACGCGGCAAUACCUGUUUUCUUGCACAUUUAUCCACACUUUAAGGGGAAACUGUAUUAAGUUAAUUAGUUUUCUUACAAACAUUACCUUUAUGCUCCUGGAAUAUUUGCUUUGGCCGGCCAUGACUAGGACAAAUCACUCUAAAUGAUGGAAAUUACAUUUGAGUUGCAUGGCAUUAUGUUAAUUAGUAGCAUGAAGGUAAAUAAACAUUUGACAGAAGAAAAAUAAUGAGCUGAAGUGCCUUCUUGAACUAGAACAAAUUUGUACUCCUUUUUUGUCAUUGUCUAAUUUAAACUAAUUAUCUUGGCAGGCACUUGACUUGGUUCCAGAGA
rnacentral:misc_RNA from 1 species